AGGGGGUUGGUCUACCGGUAUGAUAGGGGUCUCCAAAACCUUUGGAAGGGGUUCGAUUCCCUUACCCCCUG
rnacentral:tRNA from 3 species